UGUUUGCCCACAUGGGAGUUUCUUCACUUAACUUCCCACACAGCAGCAAUAACAUGCAUAUUUGUGCAAGAGGGGGACAUUUCAUCACAUCAGCUAUGUGAAAGCACAUGGGAGGGCCUGAGGCUCUUGGAACAUGACUGAGGACACCCUGGCCUGACACCUGGACUUGCCUGGCCCAAUCACACCUGGCCCCCCUCUACCUGUUACCUGCCUGUUACUUUAAAGUCCAUAAUUAACCUAUACGGCUCUGGAUCCAUUGUCUUACCUACUACUGCAACAACUUGUGUCAAUUAUUUGUCCUUUUAUAGAAUAUAUUUAUCUUUUUACUAAUGACUCAAAGGUGUGUGGCCAUUAACAUUGGGUGCAUAUCCACUGACCUCCCAAAGUGUGGACUUACACAUUUCUUCUCAUCUCAGGGAUUUAACAAUGGUGCAAAGAAGUUAAAGCCAAAGCUUACACCUAUCCAACGCUUGGAAAUCCAUGAAGAGGGAGAUGGACAAUUGGCAUGCAGCCAUUGAUUUCAGGUGGCUUCAUCAAUAGAUGGAAUUUGUUCCAAAGGGCACCCUAUUCCAUAUACAUGGUACAGGGAGAAGUAAUAGGGAAGAGGGUGCCCUUUGGGAUGCAUACUGCCUGUUGAGCCACACCCUGCCUAUAGUAAACCUGUUUAACCUCGCUGUGAUACUGUAGGCCUACUUAUGUUACUUUUCUGAGUCAAUUCAGGUAGCAUUCAAUGUCCUGUGUGUGUGUUAACGAUGGCAGCCAGCAUUGUAAAUAAAGAGAUGUGCAGUGUCUGU